GGUGGCUCAGUGGUAGAGCGCUUGCCUCUCCUGCAGGAAAUCCUGGGUUCAAUUCCUCAGCACCA
rnacentral:tRNA from 1 species